rnacentral:rRNA from 1 species
GAUGAACGCUGGCGGCGUGCCUAAUACAUGCAAGUAGAACGCUGAAGGAGGAGCUUGCUCUUCUGGAUGAGUUGCGAACGGGUGAGUAACGCGUAGGUAACCUGCCUGGUAGCGGGGGAUAACUAUUGGAAACGAUAGCUAAUACCGCAUGACAACAGUUAUUGCAUGAUAACUGUUUAAAAGGGGCAACUGCUCCACUACCAGAUGGACCUGCGUUGUAUUAGCUAGUUGGUGAGGUAACGGCUCACCAAGGCGACGAUACAUAGCCGACCUGAGAGGGUGAUCGGCCACACUGGGACUGAGACACGGCCCAGACUCCUACGGGAGGCAGCAGUAGGGAAGCUUCGGCAAUGGACGGAAGUCUGACCGAGCAACGCCGCGUGAGUGAAGAAGGUUUUCGGAUCGUAAAGCUCUGUUGUAAGAGAAGAACGAGUGUGAGAGUGGAAAGUUCACACUGCGACGGUAUCUUACCAGAAAGGGACGGCUAACUACGUG